GAUGGGGGAGAUAAACCUUUAUUUAAAAAUUAAUUUGAAGACUGAAAAUAAAAAUAAGUAGUUUUCCAGGGUGGCAGAGACUAUUCUAAGUAGAAUGUGAUCAGUGACAAAUGACUGCUUCCCCAGCAGCCAGAACACUAUGCUCCUUUCCAGAAUACUUCUCUUCUAAUAAUGUGUUUGAUAAUAUAACUCUUCUUUUAAUGCAUUUUCACUGCCAGAUUGUGAGUUCCUUGAGAACGGAAACUGCUUAACUUGUUCACCAUUAUUCUCCCUGCACCUAGAGCAAUGAUGAGCUGAUGGUGGAUGUUGGAUGGAUGGAUGGAUGGCCAGAUGGAUGAUGCCACCCAGGGGUGAAUGGUUAACCUGCAAAUGACACACUUAUCUAAGAACCUACGGAGCACACCGGGAUUGGCUGUGAGCUGCCCAAGACAAGCCCUGCCCGUUGUUUAUGUAUGGUCACCAGUCUUCAAUAUGUGAUUUGAAGGACCAGUCUAUAGCCUGACGUGAACAUCAUUAGUGCUUCCUAAACCUUUCCCCGGAACUCGUCCCAACACCAAUGGGAAUAAACUUGUACCCCCUGGGACCUAGGGCCUUCAAGGUCUCAUUCUAACCUUGUAAUUUUAUGCUAACUUGAUAUUCCCCUAAAAUAUCCAGUUUUUGUCUUCAUAUAAAAUUAUUUUCCCAGACCUCCAGGUUGUGCAUUGUUUACCAGUCUAUGGCUUGUAGUGUCGCUGGCACCCUUCUGUGCCCUGCUUGAGAAUCACAGUGUGAAGAUGUUGUCCAUAAAAUAUUACUGCUAACAUGAAAAUAUUGUAGACAGGAGAGGUAACAUUAACUUCCAUUAAUAUGGAUUCUCUUAUUUGAUUCCCUUUUUUCACCCAGCAAAGAGCAGUCCCUGACUGAGAAUGGGACAGAAGAUGAGGGGGUUUGAUGAUGGAAAGAGGAAAACCACUCAGAGCCACCUGAAAGUGAAGGUCUGGUCAGGUCAGCCUGCUGGUCCAAGAUGGUAGCCAACGGGAAUAGACAGGAUGGAGACGCUGGACAAGGAGGAGGGAACCAGAGCUGGGAUGAAGAGUCCUUUGCCAAGGCCGUUCAAAGCAAUGGAUGAUGAAAGCACUGUGGAUACGUGUGAGAACUUACCAUUCAUUCCUUCUCCAGACAUUUGAGUGCUUAUUGUGGACCAGACCCUGUGCUUAGCACUAGCAAGUGAAAGAGACGAUUAAUAUUCCUAGUCCAGUGAGGAUGGAGACACAUAGAAGAUAGGUGCAAUAAGCUAUCUGCCAGGUGGAAGCACAGGUGGUAGCAAAGGCGUGCCGUCCAGCCCAGAAUGAGGAGUGCAGAGGAGGCUUCCUAGAGGAGGUGGUGCCUGAACUCAGUCUCAAAGGACAUGGAGAAGUAGAUUAUGUCCUGCUUAACGACUCCUCCUGAGGGGUGAGUGCAGGAAGACACCAGGAGGGAGGCAGAGCCUCUGGAGAACAUUCUGGAACCCAAACCACCCUAAAUGGAGCCAGAAGGUCUGUCAAUUCCCAGAGAGCAGCAAGGAAAUGCUGUGGAGUUCUUGAAGUCAACAGUUCCAGGGCAGCUUCUGGAGUCCCACCUUCCUGAUUGUGGCAGCUCUCCUGGCAGACGGGUUCUGCCACAUUCUGAGAGUCAUCCCUGGAGGUCCAACAUAGAGCCUUCUCUCCCAGCCCUUCCAACAAGUCUGUAAUUCCCCCAUAUUAAACCUCUUUUUGCUUAAAAAACCUAGCAUGGUUUCUAUU